GAUCAUGGCUCAGGACGAACGCUGGCGGCGUGCCUAAUACAUGCAAGUCGAACGAGAACGACCGGUGCUUGCACUGGUCAAUCUAGUGGCGAACGGGUGAGUAACACGUGGGUAACCUGCCCAUCAGAGGGGGAUAACAUUCGGAAACGGAUGCUAAAACCGCAUAGGUUCUUUAGUCGCAUGACUGGAGAAGGAAAAGAGGCUUCGUCUUCUGCUGAUGGAUGGACCCGCGGUGCA
rnacentral:rRNA from 1 species